rnacentral:piRNA from 5 species
CGUUGGUGGUAUAGUGGUGAGCAU